CGAAUGCUGACAUAAGUAACGAUAAAGCGGGUGAAAAGCCCGCUCGCCGGAAGACCAAGGGUUCCUGUCCAACGUUAAUCGGGGCAGGGUGAGUCGACCCCUAAGGCGAGGCCGAAAGGCGUAGUCGAUGGGAAACAGGUUAAUAUUCCUGUACUUGGUGUUACUGCGAAGGGGGGACGGAGAAGGCUAUGUUGGCCGGGCGACGGUUGUCCCGGUUUAAGCGUGUAGGCUGGUUUUCCAGGCAAAUCCGGAAAAUCAAGGCUGAGGCGUGAUGACGAGGCACUACGGUGCUGAAGCAACAAAUGCCCUGCUUCCAGGAAAAGCCUCUAAGCAUCAGGUAACAUCAAAUCGUACCCCAAACCGACACAGGUGGUCAGGUAGAGAAUACCAAGGCGCUUGAGAGAACUCGGGUGAAGGAACUA
rnacentral:rRNA from 1 species